AACGAACGCUGGCGGCAUGCCUAACACAUGCAAGUCGAACGAGACCUUCGGGACUAGUGGCUCACGGGUGCGUAACGCGUGGGAACCUGCCCUUAGGUUCGGAAUAACACUCCUACAGGGGUGCUAAUACCGGAUAAUUUCUUCUGACCCAAGAUUCAUCGACUUUGGAUGGGCCCGCGUUGGUUUAGCUUGUUGGUAGGGUAAAAGCCUACCAAGGGUACGAUCCAUAGCUGGGUUGAGAGGAAGAGCAGCGACACUGGGACUGAGCCACGGCGGAGAAUACUACGGGAGGGAGCAGUGGGGGAUAUAGGAAAAUCGGGGAAAGCAUGAAGGAGCUCUGCUGGGAGAGUGAUGAAGGCGUUAGGGUAGUAAAGCUCUUUUACCCGGGAUGAUAAUGACGGUACCGGGAGAAUAAGCACCGGCUAACUCCGUG
rnacentral:rRNA from 1 species